CGAGUUGGCCAGACAGUCGCUGCCGUCAUCCGCUUUUGCAAUCGUGCAAUCGAUCGCAGAGGCCGCCGGUGGAGGAAAGUCCGGGCUCCGCAGAGCAGAACGCCAGGUAACGCCUGGGGGGUGAAAGCCCACGGAAAGUGCAGCAGAGAGUAGACCGCCGGUACGUCACUUCGGUGUCGAACCGGUAAGGGUGAAAGGGUGCGGUAAGAGCGCACCGCGCGACUGGUAACAGUUCGUGGCACGGCAAACCCCGUUCGGAGCAAGGCCAAAUAGGAACCCAAUGGUGUGGCUCGCACUGGGUUCGGGUAGGCUGCUUGAGGUCAGUAGUGAUACUGAUCCCAGAUGAAUGACUGUCCCCGACAGAACCCGGCUUAUCGGCUGACUCGUUUG
rnacentral:RNase_P_RNA from 1 species